CCCUUAGAUGUUCUGGGCCGCACACGCGCUACACUGAAGGAGGCAGCGUGUACUCCUGGAUCGAAAGAUUUGGGUAACCCGCGAAUCUCCUUCGUGCUAGGGAUUGAGGUUUGCAAUUAUCCUUCAUGAACGAGGAAUUCCCAGUAAGUGCAAGUCAUAAGCUUGCGCUGACUACGUCCCUGCCCUUUGUAAACACCGCCCGUCGCUACUACCGAUUGAAUGAUUUAGUGAGGACUUCGGACUGGGACCGAUGCGGCUUUCGGGCUGCGUCGGUAUUCUGGAAAGAUGUCCAAACUGUAUCAUUUAGAGGAAGUAAAANUCGUANCA
rnacentral:rRNA from 1 species